AUUGAACGCUGGCGGCAGGCCUAACACAUGCAAGUCGAGCGGAUGAAGGGAGCUUGCUCCUGUAUUCAGCGGCGGACGGGUGAGUAAUGCCUAGGAAUCUGCCUGGUCGUGGGGGAUAACGUCCGGAAACGGGCGCUAAUACCGCAUACGUCCUGAGGGAGAAAGUGGGGGAUCUUCGGACCUCACGCUAUCAGAUGAGCCUAGGUCGGAUUAGCUAGUUGGUGGGGUAAAGGCCUACCAAGGCGACGAUCCGUAACUGGUCUGAGAGGAUGAUCAGUCACACUGGAACUGAGACACGGUCCAGACUCCUACGGGAGGCAGCAGUGGGGAAUAUUGGACAAUGGGCGAAAGCCUGAUCCAGCCAUGCCGCGUGUGUGAAGAAGGUCUUCGGAUUGUAAAGCACUUUAAGUUGGGAGGAAGGGCAGUAAGUUAAUACCUUGCUGUUUUGACGUUACCAACAGAAUAAGCACCGGCUAACUUCGUG
rnacentral:rRNA from 1 species